UCACAAUUCAGUGACUAGUCAUGAUUGGCAAGAUAACACAUAAGCAGCUCAGUAAUUUGAAGGUAGUAAUGCAUUUUUAAAGGAUACUCACGGUUUAUAUUAUAGACACAAUAGUUAGGACAUGUAUGUAUAUGGAAUUUCAUCUCCCAGCUAGCUUGCCAGAGUAAUUUUACAAAUUGCAGCUGUUACGUUAGAGUGAGCCUUCGCUAAAUGUUUUGACAGCCCUGCCAGUUGGCUUACAGCCUAAAUUGGUUUAAGUGGGUUUCGUGACUACACAUUGCAUUUUCUGUUUACACAAGCAAAAUGCUGUAUAUUUCUUAGAAUUUAAUCUAAUUAUAAAAAUGUAUCAAGAAUAGAUUAAGUAGGC